rnacentral:rRNA from 1 species
UACGAAGGGGGCUAGCGUUGCUCGGAAUCACUGGGCGUAAAGGGUGCGUAGGCGGGUCUUUAAGUCAGGGGGGAAAUCCUGGAGCUCAACUCCAGAACUGCCUUUGAUACUGAAGAUCUUGAGUUCGGGAGAGGUGAGUGGAACUGCGAGUGUAGAGGUGAAAUUCGUAGAUAUUCGCAAGAACACCGAUGGCGAAGGCGGCUCACUGGCCCGAUACUGACGCUGAGGCACGAAAGCGUGGGGAGCAAACAGG